rnacentral:rRNA from 1 species
AAUCAACGCUGGCGGCGUGCCUCAGACAUGCAAGUCGAACGCUGCUGUUCGCCUUCGGGUGGACAGCGGAGUGGCGCACGGGUGAGUAACACGUAGGUAAUCUACCGUUUGGGUGGGAAUAACAGCCGGAAACGGCUGCUAAUACCGCAUAAUGCAGCGGCAUCACAUGAUGACAGUUGUUAAAGCGAGGGAUCGUAAGACCUCGCGCCUGAAGNGGAGCCUGCGGCAGAUUAGGUAGUUGGUGAGGUAAUGGCUCACCAAGCCUGCGAUCUGUAACCGGCCUGAG